rnacentral:rRNA from 1 species
UACGUAGGUGGCAAGCGUUGUCCGGAAUUAUUGGGCGUAAAGCGCGCGCAGGCGGUCCUUUAAGUCUGAUGUGAAAGCCCACGGCUCAACCGUGGAGGGUCAUUGGAAACUGGAGGACUUGAGUACAGAAGAGGAAAGCGGAAUUCCACGUGUAGCGGUGAAAUGCGUAGAGAUGUGGAGGAACACCAGUGGCGAAGGCGGCUUUCUGGUCUGUAACUGACGCUGAGGCGCGAAAGCAUGGGGAGCGAACAGG